rnacentral:rRNA from 1 species
UNCCAUGUGUAGCGGUGGAAUGCGUAGAUAUAUGGAGGAACNCCGGUGGCGAAAGCGGCUCUCUGGUCUGUAACUGACGCUGAGGCUCGAAAGCGUGGGGAGCGAACAGGAUUAGAUACCCUGGUAGUNCACGCCGUAAACGAUGAGUGCUAGGUGUUAGGCCCUUUCCGGGGCUUAGUGCCGCAGCUAACGCAUUAAGCACUCCGCCUGGGGAGUACGACCGCAAGGUUGAAACUCAAAGGAGUUGACGGGGGCCCGCACAAGCGGUGGAGCAUGUGGUUUAAUUCGAAGCAACGCGAAGAACCUUACCAGGUCUUGACAUCCCGAUGCCCGCUCUAGAGAUAGAGUUUUACUUCGGUACAUCGGUGACAGGUGGUGCAUGGUUGUCGUCAGCUCGUAUCGUGAGAUGUUGGGUUAAGUCCCGCAACGAGCGCAACCCUUAUUGUUAGUUGCCAUCAUUCAGUUGGGCACUCUAGCGAGACUGCCGGUAAUAAACCGGAGGAAGGUGGGGAUGACGUCAAAUCAUCAUGCCCCUUAUGACCUGGGCUACACACGUGCUACAAUGGCUGGUACAACGAGUCGCAAGUCGGUGACGGCAAGCUAAUCUCUUAAAGCCAGUCUCAGUUCGGAUUGUAGGCUGCAACUCGCCUACAUGAAGUCGGAAUCGCUAGUAAUCGCGGAUCAGCACGCCGCGGUGAAUACGUUCCCGGGCCUUGUACACACCGCCCGUCACACCACGAGAGUUUGUAACACCCGAAGUCGGUGAGGUANCCUUUUAGGA